CCUACGGGCGGCAGCAGUGAGGAAUAUUGGUCAAUGGACGAGAGUCUGAACCAGCCAAGUAGCGUGAAGGAUGCCUGCCCUAUGGGUUGUAAACUUCUUUUAUAUGGUAAUAAAAUGUUCCACGUGUGGGCUUUUGUAUGUACCAUAUGAAUAAGGAUCGGCUAACUCCGUGCCAGCAGCCGCGGUAAUACGGAGGAUCCGAGCGUUAUCCGGAUUUAUUGGGUUUAAAGGGUGCGUAGGUGGAUUGUUAAGUCAGUUGUGAAAGUUUGCGGCUCAACCGUAAAAUGGCAGUUGAAACUGGCAGUCUUGAGUACAGUAGAGGUGAGCGGAAUUCGUGGUGUAGCGGUGAAAUGCUUAGAUAUCACGAAGAACUCCGAUUGCGAAGGCAGCUCACUGGACUGCAACUGACACUGAGGCUCGAAAGUGUGGGUAUCAAACAGGAUUAGAUACCCCUGUAGUC
rnacentral:rRNA from 1 species